AUGGAUGGGUGGAUGGUUAUAAUUGCACUGCUCACAGGAGAGCCGUGAAAGCCUCCGGUGGUGUCGGUAUUUUUGUUAAUAACUCUGUUUUUGACCAGUAUGAUGUAACCAUAGCAGAUAAACCAUUUGAUGGAAUCCUUUGUUUAUGUUGUGAGCAUCGGUUGUCACGUUACACUUUAUUAUUUCACCGUGGUAACGUUAGUUUUCAGUUUGAUAUUCAACAGAUAUUUGGACACCCAGUCAUGUUUUGCUGACCCCAUGCUGCUUUGUUGUGGGGUUGUGACCCCAGUUUCACCACCGCGUUUUCACUACUGGUGGAUAAUUAGUGGCCAUCAUCAAAUUACAGGUAGCAGUUUUCAAAGAACAAUAUCUCCUCAGCCACAUGAGCUAUAAAUGUCAAAAUGAUUCUAAACUAUUCAACAUGGGUCCAUGAAUGUUGCACCUCCUUUAUUUUGCCCAUUUUCAUCUCAUGCUAUUUUAUAUAAAUUUUUCAAUGUUUCAAAGUUCAAUAAUUUUUUAGUCACGUGACCUACACACCUCAAAUCACUACCCGAUUGCUCAUCCUGCCACAUGUUGCACAGCCUUUGUUUGAGAAAAAAAGUUUUCAUUGAAAAAUAUGUGUAUCCUUUUGUGAACAUAGAGACAAAAGGCCUCCUGUAUGAAAAACAAACAAACAAAAAAGAAAAAGAAAGCACAAUCAGCAGAUAGACACAACAACAAACAGAGGUACCAGCACAUCACACAUGCAGGGGUGAUAGGAAUCCGGUACCAUACCGGAAUUCCAGCAUGGAGCAUUGGGUGAUGAGAUUAAAAAAAUGCAGGAUACAUGCGUGCAAAAAAAAAAGAAAAAAAAAAGCUGACUGCUGAAUGGAGACGUGUUACUCUCAGCCA